rnacentral:rRNA from 1 species
GAUGAACGCUGACAGAAUGCUUAACACAUGCAAGUCUACUUGAACUUCGGUUUGGGUGGCGGACGGGUGAGUAACGCGUAAAGAACUUGCCUCACAGUUAGGGACAACAUUUGGAAACGAAUGCUAAUACCUGAUAUUAUGAUUUUAGGGCAUCCUAGGAUUAUGAAAGCUAUAUGUGCUGUGAGAGAGCUUUGCGUCCAUUAGCUAGUUGGAGAGGUAACGGCUCACCAAGGCGAUGAUGGGUAGCCGGCCUGAGAGGGUGAACGGCCACAAGGGGACUGAGACACGGCCCUUACUCCUACGGGAGGCAGCAGUGGGGAAUAUUGGACAAUGGACCAAAAGUCUGAUCCAGCAAUUCUGUGUGCACGAUGACGUUUUUCGGAAUGUAAAGUGCUUUCAGUUGGGAAGAAAAAAAUGACGGUACCAACAGAAGAAGUGACGGCUAAAUACGUG